rnacentral:misc_RNA from 1 species
UUUGAGCGUUUGUUUCUCGUCAACAUGGCGUUCACCUGAUUGUAAUGGAUUUUCUUUUUUUUUACAGGUGUAAAGAACCCGAAGAUUGAUGACUCGGACUCCGAAAUACAUGCUCACAGAUAAUUGAGAGACCAUCGAUCUGCACGGUAAGAUAUUUAUUCCAUUAUUCCCUUCUUAUUUUCUACUCUUUGUCGACCGUUCCUAAAUUCCUCCUGCCUGUUUGUCAAUGAUACUCUCUUUCAUCAUAAUUCCCUAGUAAUGGCCAUCUAGACCCCAUAAUGAACCUUCAUAAAUGAAAACAUUGUGUCGAAAUUAACGAGGCAAUAUCUUCAGCGGUUGAAACUAAUUUUUCCCCCUUCAUUAUGUUGUGGACGACUUCAUUUACUUAGUACAUAUGUAAUCAAACAUUAUUAGUUUUGAAAAUAAAAACCCACCUUACUUUUAAGACCUUCAAACAUGAAGAGCUUUAUUUGUAAAAGCGUGAUCAUUACGUCAAGUGACUGAUGUACGUAGAGAAGUUAUAGCCUUUAACCUGGAGACAAUGUGCACUGGGACUAAAUCUUAAUUGAAUUCUGUCGUGAUCCCGAAGAUCAUUGUAAGUCCAGGCCAAAUGAUACCUUCUCUUGUCUUGAUUCGAGUAAUUAUAAUAGAUUUCGUGUCCGAGUGGUGUAUGGAUAUUGUCACGAUUUCAUCAAACUCUGAAGAAAUGUAUCAAUAUUAUAGAAUUAAAGCACCGAAACUAACCCUGAAUUUUAUACAUUUUUUAAAGAUAUAUUUAAUAUAUAUAAUUGUGUACAAAAAUUCAAAUGAUCCACAGCUUUAUCACAUGCAUAUUAAAUGAACAUAUUUCAACGUAGUUUGAUACAUCAACGAAAUGCGAAACUUCUCUGUGACAAUAAGAGCAAAGAAAGUGAUACCGACAUGUCUAAACAAUAAGAAUUUGAAACGGGGAGCGUGUUUUCUUGCUUACAAAGUGAUAUCUGAACUUAGCCAAAAUAGGUCUUUAUAAAAAAUAAAAACAUUUCAUUCCUCUUACCUUAUGGAUUCUAGGUGGGGGUUGUCUCAGUGUCAUCUAAAGCUUUGGCGCCAAACUGCGUAACACGCAAAGGUUUUUAACAAUAAUUUUUUCCCCAUUUAAUUGUACGACAGCAGGUUGAUUCUUUUUUAUUUCUUUUUUGGGACGUACAUGUAUUCAUGGGCUAUUUUGCGUGUAAACGUCAUUUUCAAUGGAUUGUGGCUUUAUUUAGAAACUGGGAUAUUAUACCUAUUAGAAAGGUGAGUUUUUAAUCCAUGCUCUUUAAGUAGGUCCACAUUUCAUUGUGGUUGUAAUACCGGUAUGUAGAUCGUUUGGUACCGUUUCUUGCCACACUUUGGCACCAAACCUUCCCAACACAGCCACUUCCCUCCCAAAAUGCUUACAUCCUGCGAGAUAUAUAAAGGACCAUUUUGACGAGCAUGGCUUCUAAUCCGUUCUUGGGCUCAGAAUAAAAUGCUGAAUCCGGAUAUUUUGAAAAGUUAUUAUAUAUAAACUAUUUUAUUUUAGAACAAGAAGAAAACGCUUGCAUUACUAAAUACGGUCUUAUUUGGAUAUGGAGAGUAAAUUUUAAAAAAAAAGAUAUAAGGCAUACGUAAUAGGCUGUCCAUAAAUAGCGUGUUAAUUAGAGAUUUCACGCAUGAAUAUAACUUAUACUCCCGUGAUAUCGCGACUUCUGUAUAGCCAAGACGAAUGGCGAGAUAGCACCUCUCAAGAUUUGUAUUUCAGUUUCCCUAUUUUUACUGUCUGACUCGGCGGUAAACAAAGGAAUUUAAAAUUUUAUCGGAAGAGCAAUUCUGUAUAAUCAUUAAUUUCACAGCGCAGCGAAGACAAGCAAAUUCCGAUUUCGUUAUACAAUUCUACAAAAUAGGACAUUGUUCCGGGGUAAACACACCCCGGUUACUACCAUGUAAUUAUAGAUAGCUAUCUUCCUGCAGCGUUAUCUGAAAAGAUCGAUAACCAAUCAUCCGAUUUCUGCAUCUUAUGGGGGUUUUCAACCUGUAUCAGAAUAAGGAGAAAAUUGAUAAUAAUGUAAUGGUCGAAAUGCGCUCCGAAUUGUUUCCAUUCCUUUUUGAUUGACCUUGUUCGAUUUUUCUGACAAAUUCAACUCGGUACCUGCACACUGCAGCACGUGUCAAUCACCUUGCUUUUU